rnacentral:rRNA from 1 species
UACGGAGGGGGCUAGCGUUGUUUGGAAUUACUGGGCGUAAAGCGCACGUAGGCGGCUUUGUAAGUUAGAGGUGAAAGCCCGGGGCUCAACUCCGGAAUUGCCUUUAAGACUGCAUCGCUAGAAUUGUGGAGAGGUAAGUGGAAUUCCGAGUGUAGAGGUGAAAUUCGUAGAUAUUCGCAAGAACACCAGUGGCGAAGGCGGCUCACUGGCCCGAUACUGACGCUGAGGCACGAAAGCGUGGGGAGCAAACAGG